rnacentral:lncRNA from 1 species
UUUCAAAUAUACAAGUUUAAAGAAAAAUAAAAUACUUCCCACUUAAUGUUAAGGAUUAGACCUAGGUUAAAGGAAAUAACUAAAAAUUUGUAAGGUUCCGCGGAACCCAGUGUCUCGCCUACUUUUGCUGUUAAUCACACACUCAUCAAAAAUGAUGAAAAAAAUCAAUAAAAUUAUUCCUCUCAAUACUAUCUUUUGAUUGUCAGAAGCUUCU